rnacentral:rRNA from 1 species
ACACGUAGGGGCCUGACGUUGUUCGGAAUCAUUGGGCGUAAAGGGCGCGCAGGCGGCCGUCCAAGUCCGGUGUUAAAUGGUCGGGCUCAACCCGAUCAUGCGCUGGAAACUGGGCGGCUGGAGUCCCGGAGGGGAUGCCGGAAUUCCAGGCGUAGGGGUGAAAUCUGUAGAUAUCUGGAAGAACACCGAUGGCGAAGGCAGGCAUCUGGCCGGAGACUGACGCUGAGGCGCGAAGGCGCGGGGAGCGAACAGGUUUAGAUACCCUGGUAGUCCGCGCAGUAAACGAUGCGCACCAGGUGUCGGGCGGCAGCGCCCGGUACCGGAGCAAACGCGAUGAGUGCGCCGCCUGGGGAGUAUGCCCGCAAGGGUGAAACUCAAAUGAAUUGACGGGG